GACGAACGCUGGCGGCGUGCUUAACACAUGCAAGUCGAACGAGAAUCUGUGGAAAGAGGAUUCGUCCAAUUGAAGCAGAGGACAGUGGCGGACGGGUGAGUAACGCGUGAGGAACCUGCCUUUCAGAGGGGGACAACAGUUGGAAACGACUGCUAAUACCGCAUGACACAUCGGAGUCGCAUGGCUCUGAUGUCAAAGAUUUAUCGCUGAAAGAUGGCCUCGCGUCUGAUUAGCUAGUUGGUGAGGUAACGGCCCACCAAGGCGACGAUCAGUAGCCGGUCUGAGAGGAUGAACGGCCACAUCGGGACUGAGAUACGGCCCAGACUCCUACGGGAGGCAGCAGUGGGGAAUAUUGGGCAAUGGGGGAAACCCUGACCCAGCAACGCCGCGUGAAGGAAGAAGGCUUUCGGGUUGUAAACUCUUUUGUCAGGGACGAGUAGAAGACGGUACCUGACGAAUAAGCCACGGCUAACUACGUG
rnacentral:rRNA from 1 species